AGUGAACGCUGGCGGCAGGCCUAACACAUGCAAGUCGAACGGCAGCACAGUAAGAGCUCGCUCUUACGGGUGGCGACUGGCGGAUGGGUGAGGAAUACAUCGCAAUCUACUUUUUCGUGGGUGAUAACGUAGGGACACAUACGCUAAUACUGCAUAUGACCAACGGGUUGAAUCAGCGGAUCUUCCGACAUUGCGUGAUUGUAUGAGCCGAUGUCGGAUUAGCUAGUUGGCGGGGUAAAGGCCCACCAAGGCGACGAUCCGUAGCGGGUCUGAGAGGAUGAUCAGCCACACUGGAACUGAGACACGGUCCAGACUCCUACGGGAGGCAGCAGUGGGGAAUAUUGGACAAUGGGCGCAAGCCUGAUCCAGCCAUGCCGCGUGGGUGAAGAAGGCCUUCGGGUUGUAAAGCCCUUUUGUUGGGAAAGAAAAGCAGCAGGUUAAUACCCCGCUGUUCUGACGGUACCCAAAGAAUAAGCACCGGCUAACUUCGUG
rnacentral:rRNA from 1 species